rnacentral:rRNA from 2 species
GCAGUCGAACGCGUUGGCCCAAUUGAUUGAUGGUGCUUGCACCUGAUUGAUUUUGGUCGCCAACGAGUGGCGGACGGGUGAGUAACACGUAGGUAACCUGCCCAGAAGCGGGGGACAACAUUUGGAAACAGAUGCUAAUACCGCAUAACAACGUUGUUCGCAUGAACAACGCUUAAAAGAUGGCUUCUCGCUAUCACUUCUGGAUGGACCUGCGGUGCAUUAGCUUGUUGGUGGGGUAAUGGCCUACCAAGGCGAUGAUGCAUAGCCGAGUUGAGAGACUGAUCGGCCACAAUGGGACUGAGACACGGCCCAUACUCCUACGGGAGGCAGCAGUAGGGAAUCUUCCACAAUGGGCGCAAGCCUGAUGGAGCAACACCGCGUGAGUGAAGAAGGGUUUCGGCUCGUAAAGCUCUGUUGUUAAAGAAGAACACGUAUGAGAGUAACUGUUCAUACGUUGACGGUAUUUAACCAGAAAGUCACGGCUAACUACGUGCCAGCAGCCGCGGUAAUACGUAGGUGG